rnacentral:misc_RNA from 1 species
AGUCUACCUUCUAUUAUGAAU